ACUGGAUCCCGUUUUGGGGGCGAUUUCCUGGGGGUACAAGGCAUCAUCAUCGGCCCAGGCCAAGAAUAAGCUGAAGAAUCUGUGCCUGGGUCCCUGGGAGAGAGCACGGUAAGGAAGAGAGUUUCGUGCCUAUGUUUGGCCAUGCACUCUGCAUGCUGGUGAUACCUGCAGGUGCUUGCAUAGAACGUAACUUUAAGCACGUGGAUCAGGUACAUGGAUGUAUAAGCGUGCACGUGGCCAUGGGGAUGGAGCUGCUGCAGCCCACACUAUGUCUGUGAAGCUUAAGAAACAGCAUCUUUUCUUCCUGGUAGAUGGUUGCCCUGUGGGUUGGAGAGUGAAAUGUGAGCUGAGUUUCAGUGAGCCCCAUACCCCCAGACCUCUUACGCAGUGGGGAUUCUAUGUUUGGAUGUAAUAUUAUUGAAUGUGACUUUUUUAUUGGGAAUCUGAUUUGUUCUGAGCAGUCUCGUUCACUGGCAUGCAUCUAGCUGGGGACUGCCCCUGCCUCCUUCCCAGCUCAGAGGUCCGGGAUGCAACAACCACCACUAUUCACCACCACAAAGUUCCUGAACAUUAUGUAAAAGGUGUUGGACAGAGGCACCCGGAUAGAAGAAGUGAGUGUCCAUGGCCAGACUGCUCCAGACCACCUGCAACCCAGCAGAGAAGAGACAGAUCUGGGAACCCUCCGGAGCUCGCCUCUGAGGCAGAAAGAGCGUGAGAUUUGGAGCCAGCUGCUCUGCUUUCUUCAUCAGCAAAGGGGGUAUCUGCUACCGAGCCUCAUCCUACCUCCACCUACACAUUCCAACUUCCAUCGUAUUCCUCACAACCCUUUGGACAGGCAGGAGCUGUAUUACUACCCCCAUUGUGCAGAUGAGGAAACUGAGGCCCGGAGAAGAUGGUAAAACUGAAUCUCAGAGAGGUGCUGAGACUUGCUCAAGAUCACACAGCAGAGAACAGACAGGGCUGGGAUCCCAGCCCAAGCCUGGUGUUCUCUUCCUGACACCACAGUAUUUCCCCCUGAAGUCUUUGAUUUCUAUUCUCGAGUUAAGUAUUAGCAAUGGUGCCAGAGCGGGUGCUGUAGAAGCUCUGGUCCGAUCCACAGGGACCCCUUUACCCUCUCAGUGUGACCACUCACCAGCUUCUGUGUAUUUUGCUUCCAAUGGCUCUUGCCUGCAACCUUCUUUGGAGGCUGCCUUUGAGCUAUUGGAGCGAUUUGCCCAGGCAGAGGGCUGAAAGUGCCUGAGAGUUAACUGGGGUGGUCCAUAGCCAAUGAUUAACUGGAGCCGGAGUAUGAAAGCCCAGCUCCCUCUCCUGGAGGCAAGACAAACUCUGAGGUGUAAUUUAUACCCGAGUUGCUCAUGGGAUCAGGCUGGCACCAGGACCUCACCUGGGAUGGCACCCUGUCCUGCUUAAUCCACUUCCUCCCUCUGGUCUCUCCUAGGAGCGCUUAAUAAACCACUUGUAAAUAAAUUCUCAUCUCCAAGUCUGCUUCUGACAGGUGCUGAGCAAGGAAGGGCUUGAGGAUCGAGACUGUGAAAAGAGACGGGAUCACUCCAGGGGAAAAGAAAAAAAAAAAGGCUCCUGACUUGUAGUGUUUGCCAUUUUCCGUGGUGUAGAUAUUUCUACCAUGGCUCAUUCCAGCUAAUAAUGCAACAUCACUGAAGGCAGAGAUGGGCAGAGAUGCACCGCUGGCUCCUGCAAGCCAGCGUGAGCGGGCUCCAGCAGACCACUGCGAGAAAUCCCUGGCAAGGACGAUCUCUGCUUCUCAAAGAGACAGCAAUAAAGGCAAGCUUUUGCCCGGAGCAGUGGACUUCUGAGGCUGAUCUGCAAGGCUCUGGCUGAGGCAGUAUUCACAUUCCUGCCGGAGAUGGAAUCUGCUCUUUUGAUUAGGGAGUUGUGAACGGCACACACCCAGGGUCGGGCCAGGAGAUUUAUACCUGUGACUUCACUUGCGAUCCGCAGCCCUCUCAACUCCAGGAUGGAACAGCUGCAGUGUUUGACUAGACUUUCAGGAAAGAUAGAGCUGCCAUCCGCCAGACACACCCACCCACCUGCACAUUCACACCCACACUCUUGGUUUUCUUCCAGUGCCGUGCUAACAUGUGCAUUGCCUGAAUGAAUGAAUGUUCCCCCAAAAUAUCUGCUGAGGGAUCUGUUAAAAAAUACAGAUUCCCAGGUCCACUUUCAGUCUGAUUCAAUAGAUUGGGAGGGGUAUGGUGUUAAGAAACUAUAGUUUUAACAAGACCACAGGGAAUUCUGAUGAUUGGAUCAAUUCAGUAGGUAUGGCCCAGUGCCUCUGGAACUACAGUAGUUGUUUGAAUCAGCUAGAGGCUCCUUAAGAAGAGUGCUGAUCUUUUUAUCUGGGCCUGAGAAUCUGCAUUUCCGACACACUCCCAGGUAAUGUGAUUGCUGCUGGUGUGGGGACAACACUUUGAGAACCACUGGUGCAGACAGACCUUGGAGCCAGACUUAAUCCAUCUAAGCCUCAGUUUCAUCAUCUGUAAUGUGGGGUAGCUCAGAAUAUCUACCUCUUAAAGGUCGUUAUAAGGACUAAUUGAGUUAAUACUUGAAAAGCUCAGCAGUAUCUGCUACAUGCUAAACAGUGUGACAUGUUUGUUAAGUAGAUAAAACGCCAGCCUAGAUGUUGGGUAUAUUUUCAUUCAUGCACUCAGUGAAUACUUAGUGAUACCUACCCUGUGCUGGAGCCAUCUUGGAUUAAGUAUGGUACCAUGCAGUGGAGCGGGAGGCAGACACAGCCCCUUCUUAUUCUGUGGUAAAGAGUGGUGGAUUUUCUGGUUCUUCCAGCAUGUCAUUCUUGGGAGCCCAUUUAUCUCCCCAGACCUUAAAAGCACAAUGAUGUGAUCAAUAUCAGGACUUGUCCCUACUGUCCUGGCACCCUGGACUUUGCCUUCUCAGCACUCAUCCUAAUCCUUAACCAUGCAUCCAUUUG